GGACUGCCGCCACACCCGCUCCCCACAAUUCCCCCUUUUUUCUUUUUUGGCAGAGAGAAUGUCUGUAGAUAGCCCCUCGCAGCCAUGCCCCUUACCCGUCCUUGGGUGACAAACAGCAUUGGUUUGAUCCCUGUCUUAGGUUGGUGACAUGCCCAGGGAGUCUUAUCACUGACUACCUCUCUAUUAUGCCAAGCCACACCUGGGGAGAUUGUGUUUUGCUUGUGGCAGGUGCAUCAAAAGGCCAGGAUGUUAAUUAACCUAUGGCCAGAUCUUAAUUGCUGCAAGCAAGCCUCAUGGGUGAAGGUAGAGGUCUGAUCCCCAGUGUGCAAGCAUAGGGGCCCUACACAAAACCAUCCCUUAGGCUCAUCACCCAGAGAGGUCUUGGCCAGCUCCCGUGUCGUUUUUCCUAGGGGAAGGGAACUAGGACACUGAACCUUCAUGCAAUCAGACAUGCCUUCCACAGGAUGCCAACAGCAAGCUAUCCUCUGUGCAGUGCUUAGCCUCGCACCCCACGGCAUAACGCAGCAUAAUUUCUUUUAGAGUGGCAAACCGAAUCUGAGGAGAUUGCCCCGCCUCCACUGCAGCAAAAGCCUACGCUACCAUGGCGAAAGUCUGCACACGCUGCACCUAACACAUGUGCCAAACACACAACACACACACACUAUAACAAGCAUACAUCCCAGGGCUCUCAUCCCCGCUCAUCUUCCCUGAAGCAAGGGAUAGAUAGCCAGAGGGGCUAUCUCUUUAAGGGAAAUUCAGGGAUCAAAAAGCGUGGAAAGAAUAUCAUGUCGAGCUGGUAUCGGCUUCUGGAAUACCGAAAGGAUCUCUCAUCUCGGCUCCAUCCUUUGUGCUUGUGGGAUCAUCCACCACAUCCACAGGGGCAACUGGAUCAGGAGCCUCAUUCUUGCAGCGUCUCACCAAUCUCUCCAGCACCCAAAGAGGUUCCGUCUGGUCCUGUGGAAACACACAAACAGACCCUCUCGCCCACGUCAACACCUGAUCCUGUCGAUCCCUGCUGAGGAGGCAUAGGGAGGAGGCACAGAAGCUAAUUCGCCUUCCUCCUCCGCCUCAACUCUUUUAUUUUGUCCUUUCUGUCCACCUGAUAACACUGUGUCUCCUUUCUUUUUCCUUUUUCUUUUUAAGCCCUUCUCCUCUUCCGACAUACUUUCUUGUUGCUCUGUAAGGAUUUUCUGACCUGUCUUGACUGCCUCUACACACAGUUUCAAACAGUAACAGAGUCCAUAUAUCAGAACAAACAAGACCAAAACUAUCAGACCUACCCACAAAGGGUCAACGGGAGAAAAAAGCAUAACUACACAGCGAGGAUCUAUUGAUCACUACACUGAGGUUAUCAUAGUUCCUUAACUUGUCCCCAAACCGGGAACCUUAACUUGUCCCAAAGCCGGGAACCUUUGUGCCUGCUUCCUGGCAACUUUAUGCUCACCUCUAUUUUAUCCGAGGUCCUUCCCAAACUCCUGGGUUACCUUGUGCCUGCUUCCUGGCAACUUUAUAUUCCCCUCUAUUUUAUCCGAGGUCCUUCCCAAACUCCUGGGUUACUUUGUGCCUACUUCCUGGCAACUUUAUGCUCACCUCUAUUUUAUCCGAGGUCCUUCCCAAAGUCCUGGGGUCGCAAGUUUCACUCACCGUGAACUUACCCUGCCAGCAACCACUGACUGCUGAAAGUUCUGAACUCGGCGGGGGAGUCGGUUCCCCGUACGGGCCACCAAUUGUCGCGCCCGCUCUCGACCAGCAAGAACGACGCGACCACCAGUCCUUCUAACAGCAGUUUAUUCAGUCUUCAUCUUUCUUCUUUCUCUUCAUCAGUACCGUUCCCCAGCUGAAGAGUUCUGAAUCCACGCCGGAUCCUUCUCAACAGUCUGUUUUACGGGAACCUUUAUUAACCACUCCUUCCCCGUGAUGCAGUUCUGAAUCCUCCCUGUAGCAGGGGGUCUUCGCUUGUGCCUGAAGAUGUUUCUUUUCCCGGGUUUCGGCACCACUUCUUGCGCGCGCUCAACAGGCCAGGAAGAACGACGCUGCUACAGGAUCCUUCUGCACACGUUUAUUCAGUCCUGUUUCUUCUUGUUUAUAUCUCCCUUGUUUAUAUCUCCCUUGUUUAUAUCUCUCCCUUGUUUUUAUAUCUCCCUUGUUUAUAUCUCCCCCGAACCCUGGGCCUCUCACUCCUUUUAUACUCUCAGUUCCCAUCCACGCACAGCAGGCCACGCCACCUCACCAGGCAUGCAGCUUCAGCUAAUCAGGGCAGCAGGGGCAAAUCUCCAUCAAACUGGAUUCACCUGUAUCCUGGUACACCUGCGCAGCACUCAAGAUGUUUGUGUCUUAUAUGAGGAAGUCAGGUGCAAGUCAUAUGACUUAGCUGCAGUCUCUGGCGCCUUUGGGACUGCCGCCACACCCGCUCC
rnacentral:lncRNA from 1 species